GGAGCGCGCACACAAAGAAGUUAGUAAUAAACAAUCCUCAAUUUGUUCGAUGUUCGGAAGUUUUUGCAAUAUUUCUUGUUUUGAAAAGUUCAAAAAAUCGUAAAAAUUGACCAAAUCGUAGGUCGAGCCGACGAUAAUCACGAUAGUGUACCGCAUUUUCACUGCAGAAAUAUGUCGAAGUGCAACGUCCCGCGAUGCCGGAGCCGAAAAAUUUUGAAGAAAGUCGGAUAACUUUCCACCAUUUUCCGACCAACAAAUUGUUGAGACGGAAAUGGUUAAACUUUUUCGAAUACAAAAGCUCGUUCGAUACGCGAAACAUAUUUGUUUGUUCGCUUUAUUUUUCGCUGGAUUCUUUUGGGGAUACUGUGUUAACCUAUAAUCAGCAAAGAAGACGUCUUCGUACUGGAGCUGUUCCAUGCAUUCGCUUCUUGGAUCUUCCAAAACGUUCCGUUUCAAUGGUUUCACACGAAAUUCCAAAUUUAUACAUUCACUUCUUGCGAAAGUGCAAAAUAUUUAUUUGCAAUCACUUCGGAAGAUGAUCCGGGAUGGAGGAAAUGUUUUUCUCGUUUUCCAGAAACGCCAAUUUGGUCCCUUAAGUGGCCCCACUACGGCUGAACACUCCAAACUAAGACCAAUGAAAGCGUCGCGAUGAUUCAUGAUGGAUGCUUCAAUGAAAGGCAAAAAAAUCAGCAGUGUUCAUCUUUCAUCAUAUUAUCAAAUUGCGGGAACGACACUGCUUCGAUAUAACCUCUCCACACAUUUGUUCAUCGUUUUUUGCGUUAUUUUUAUAAUACAGGUGCGAUAAUUUCACUGUUUUGACGUAGGAUUACGUCUUUCGGGAACAUAUUGGGGUACAAAUUGAAAAACGAAUAUCGAUCGCAUCGUGAAAAAUGUCCAAUUUUAAACGCUUAUUGCUCAGUCAUUUCAUGACGGAUUGAUGAGUUUUUUACAUCAAAACAUUGCGGCACUCUAUAACAAUUUUUCACCUUGAAUAAAAUAAUAUAUAUCAUGUAAUUAACUAUCGAACAAUUGAAAAAUCUCAACCCCUAUUUUUUUUUAUCUUCGCUUAUUUUUCGUCGGCCUAUUUCCGCCACUUUAGUGCCAAUCACCGACAUCAGGGAGGCGACUCCACCUGUUCCUACCUAUCAGACUCAACAACUCAUGAGCCGGGCCAACUUCUUUUACUUCCGCUCCGAAGGAAGACGUAACCAGAGAUUUUUCGCCUCAGAAAAUCCCAACGACGCCAGCUGGGAUUGAACCCAGGCCGAUCGGAUUGUGAGGCUGUUACGCUAACCAUACAACCACUGGCGCCGUCAACCCCUAUUCAAACGGUACUGAUUGGUCGAAAUUGACGUCAUUUCUUUUUCGCCUGCUUCGCUUCUUUCGUUCCCCGAUAAGUCAAAUAUUUGCAUGGCGAGCGAGUGGGGGGCGCCUAUUUCUAACAUACCAACUGAUAUAAAAGGACGAUAGCAUUUUUGGAUUUCUGUUUCAAGAGACGAAUGAACUCUCAGAGUUUAAAGUCUCUUUAAUUCAAUACCGUUACCGUGGAUUUCUCAUUCUCGUUCAACGCUCAGAUCGGCAAACAUCUGGGCUUCUAGUGUGCAGUGCUCUACAAAUCAACCAACACCAUACGGUGCGACAAAGGAGAGGAAGCCAUCGGCAACAAACGAUGGAUGCGGUGCGGCAAAGGGUACAAAGAAGAGGAAGCAGCGGAGAGCAUCGAAUUAAAUCUAGUGUGCAUUGCUGGUACGGUCCUCUUCACAUCAACAAUUGGAUGCGGCAAAGGAGGCAGAGGAGCGAAGUGCAUUGCAUCGUAUCGUAUCACACCCGCUAUCCGUCGUUUAGCUCGUCGUGGUGGUGCCAAUCAAACCCUCGCAAAUCGACGCACAGAAGCCGAUGGCGCCAAAGGAAAGCAUCAGCGAAUCCGUAAAAGCUACCGCUCCCAAAACUAAACUGCUACUUCCGACUGAAACGCAGCAGAUUCCGUACAACCCAUUAAACCAUUCCAGUCCUUCUCAGGAUUAUAAAUUUGUAUUGAAACAAAAGAGUUUAUUUUACUGUUUUCCACUUACCACAAAAACAAUAUAAAACCGAUCAAAAAUACUGUUUUUGACGUAGGAUUACGUCUUUCGGGAACAUAUUGGGGUACAAAUUGAAAAUCGAAAAACGAGCACAUCAUGAAAAUUGUCCAUUUUUAAACGCUUAUUGCUCAGUCAUUUCACGAUGGAUAGAUGAAAUUUUUGCGUCAAUCGAUCGGCACUCCAUAACAAUUUUUUAUAUUGAAUAAAAUAAUAUAUGUCAUGAAACUAAUUAUCGAAUAAUUGAAAAGUCUCAACCCCUACCCUAACGGAAAUAUCCACUUCUAAUUGGACAAAAUUGACGACACAUGCGGGGGUUCCCUAACAGAGACAUCAAAACCAAACUGCCUUGGGGAAAUCGGCAUUUCAAAUACAUAGUGGUAGGGGGAACUUUUGUUCCUAACGCAAUGUGUUCCCUAACAGAGACAUCAAAACCAAGCUGCCCGAAGGAAAUCGGCAUUGCAAAUAUAUGCAAGUCGGGGGCAUUUUUAUAUUGUACGUAGGGUGAGUGGAACGAUAAAUUCUAGCAAAUAAAAUUUAAAUUUAAAACUUUAAUGUUGGUUGCUUCGUAAAAUUUCAUAUCAAUGACCGAUCGUGUAUUAUGAAACAUUUAGCACAAGUAUAAGUGUAAAAUUGUAUAUGGUAGCAGUUGUGUUAAAAAUGACUUGAUUUCAUUAAUAAAAACCAAGGUGUUUUCC